AUAUACAGCCAUAGCACCCUGAGAAUGCCCAAUCUCAUCUGAUCUGGGAAGCUAAGCAGAGUCGGGCUCGGUUAGUACUUGGAUGGGAGACCAUUCGUAUACCUACAUAUAUAUAUA
rnacentral:rRNA from 1 species